rnacentral:rRNA from 1 species
ACGGGAGGCAGCAGUGGGGAAUAUUGCACAAUGGGCGCAAGCCUGAUGCAGCAACGCCGCGUGAGGGAUGACGGCCUUCGGGUUGUAAACYUCUUUUAGCAGGGAAGAAGCGAAAGUGACGGUACCUGCAGAAAAAGCGCCGGCUAACUACGUGCCAGCAGCCGCGGUAAUACGUAGGGCGCAAGCGUUAUCCGGAAUUAUUGGGCGUAAAGAGCUCGUAGGCGGUUUGUCGCGUCUGCUGUGAAAUCCCGAGGCUCAACCUCGGGCCUGCAGUGGGUACGGGCAGACUAGAGUGCGGUAGGGGAGAUUGGAAUUCCUGGUGUAGCGGUGGAAUGCGCAGAUAUCAGGAGGAACACCGAUGGCGAAGGCAGAUCUCUGGGCCGUAACUGACGCUGAGGAGCGAAAGGGUGGGGAGCAAACAGGCUUAGAUACCCUGGUAGUCCACCCCGUAAACGUUGGGAACUAGUUGUGGGGUCCAUUCCACGGAUUCCGUGACGCAGCUAACGCAUUAAGUUCCCCGCCUGGGGAGUACGGCCGCAAGGCUAAAACUCAAAGGAAUUGACGGGGACCCGCACAAGCGGCGGAGCAUGCGGAUUAAUUCGAUGCAACGCGAAGAACCUUACCAAGGCUUGACAUAUACGAGAACGGGCCAGAAAUGGUCAACUCUUUGGACACUCGUAAACAGGUGGUGCAUGGUUGUCGUCAGCUCGUGUCGUGAGAUGUUGGGUUAAGUCCCGCAACGAGCGCAACCCUCGUUCUAUGUUGCCAGCACGUAAUGGUGGGAACUCAUGGGAUACUGCCGGGGUCAACUCGGAGGAAGGUGGGGAUGACGUCAAAUCAUCAUGCCCCUUAUGUCUUGGGCUUCACGCAUGCUACAAUGGCCGGUACAAAGGGCUGCAAUACCGUGAGGUGGAGCGAAUCCCAAAAAGCCGGUCCCAGUUCGGAUUGAGGUCUGCAACUCGACCUCAUGAAGUCGGAGUCGCUAGUAAUCGCAGAUCAGCAACGCUGCGGUGAAUACGUUCCCGGGUCUUGUACACACCGCCCGUCAAGUCAUGAAAGUCGGUAACACCUGAAGCCGG